rnacentral:rRNA from 1 species
UACGUAGGGUGCGAGCGUUGUCCGGAAUUAUUGGGCGUAAAGAGCUCGUAGGCGGUGUGUCACGUCGGCCGUGAAACCCUGCAGCUUAACUGUGGGCGUGCGGUCGAUACGGGCAUCACUGGAGUUCGGCAGGGGAGACUGGAAUUCCUGGUGUAGCGGUGAAAUGCGCAGAUAUCAGGAGGAACACCGGUGGCGAAGGCGGGUCUCUGGGCCGAUACUGACGCUGAGGAGCGAAAGCGUGGGGAGCAAACAGG